rnacentral:rRNA from 1 species
AACGCUAGCUACAGGCUUAACACAUGCAAGUCGCGGGGUAACAUCUGGGAGAGCUUGCUCUUCCAGGAUGACGACCGGCGCACGGGUGAGUAACGCGUAUCCAACCUGGCCCAUACCACGGGAUAGCCCGUCGAAAGGCGGAUUAAUACCGUAUGCUGUCAUCAAGAUGCAUAUAUUGAUGACGAAAGGACUGGCGGUAUGGGAUGGGGAUGCGUCUGAUUAGCUUGUUGGCGGGGUAACGGCCCACCAAGGCGACGAUCAGUAGGGGUUCUGAGAGGAAGGUCCCCCACAUUGGAACUGAGACACGGUCCAAACUCCUACGGGAGGCAGCAGUGAGGAAUAUUGGUCAAUGGGCGCAAGCCUGAACCAGCCAAGUAGCGUGAGGGAAGACUGCCCUACGGGUUGUAAACCUCUUUUGUUUGGGAAUAAAGUGCGGGACGUGUCCCGCAUUGCAUGUACCAUUUGAAUAAGGACCGGCUAACUCCGUGCCAGCAGCCGCGGUAAUACGGAAGGUCCGGGCGUUAUCCGGAUUUAUUGGGUUUAAAGGGAGCGCAGGCCGUGGGUUAAGCGUGUCGUGAAAUUCCGUCGCUCAACGGCGGACGUGCGGCGCGAACUGGUCCACUUGAGUACGCGGGACGUUGGCGGAAUUCGUGGUGUAGCGGUGAAAUGCUUAGAUAUCACGAAGAACUCCGAUUG